UUGGAGGGCAAGUCUGGUGCCAGCAGCCGCGGUAAUUCCAGCUCCAAUAGCGUAUAUUAAAGUUGUUGCAGUUAAAAAGCUCGUAGUUGAAUUUCGGGGUUAGUAGGUUGGUCAUGCCUCUGGUAUGUACUGGUCUCACUGAUUCCUCCUUCCUGAUGAACCGUAAUGCCAUUAAUUUGGUGUUGCGGGGAAUUUGGACUGUUACUUUGAAAAAAUUAGAGUGUUUAAAGCAGGCUAAAGCUUGAAUACAUUAGCAUGGAAUAAUGAAAUAGGACGUUUGAUCUUAUUUUGUUGGUUUCUAAGAUCGACGUAAUGAUUAAUAGGGAUAGUUGGGGGCAUUAGUAUUCAAUUGUCAGAGGUGAAAUUCUUGGAUUUAUUGAAGACUAACUACUGCGAAAGCAUUUGCCAAGGAUGUUUUCAUUAAUCAAGAACGAAAGUUAGGGGAUCGAAGACGAUCAGAUACCGUCGUAGUCUUAACCAUAAACUAUGCCGACUAGGGAUCGGAUGAUGUUAAUUUUUAAUGACUCAUUCGGCGCCUUACGGGAAAC
rnacentral:rRNA from 1 species